CCUACGGGAGGCUGCAGUGAGGAAUAUUGGUCAAUGGACGAGAGUCUGAACCAGCCAAGUAGCGUGAAGUAUGAAUGCCCUAUGGGUUGUAAACUUCUUUUAUAUGGGAAUAAAAUGUUCCACGUGUGGGAUUUUGUAUGUACCAUAUGAAUAAGGAUCGGCUAACUCCGUGCCAGCAGCCGCGGUAAUACGGAGGAUCCGAGCGUUAUCCGGAUUUAUUGGGUUUAAAGGGAGCGUAGGUGGAUUGUUAAGUCAGUUGUGAAAGUUUGCGGCUCAACCGUAAAAUUGCAGUUGAAACUGGCAGUCUGGAGUACAGUAGAGGUGGGCGGAAUUCGUGGUGUAGCGGUGAAAUGCUUAGAUAUCACGAAGAACUCCGAUUGCGAAGGCAGCUCACUGGACUGCAACUGACACUGAGGCUCGAAAGUGUGGGUAUCAAACAGGAUUAGAUACCCCUGUAGUC
rnacentral:rRNA from 1 species